rnacentral:rRNA from 2 species
AAGCUCUGUUGUUAAAGAAGAACACGUAUGAGAGUAACUGUUCAUACGUUGACGGUAUUUAACCAGAAAGUCACGGCUAACUACGUGCCAGCAGCCGCGGUAAUACGUAGGUGGCAAGCGUUAUCCGGAUUUAUUGGGCGUAAAGAGAGUGCAGGCGGUUUUCUAAGUCUGAUGUGAAAGCCUUCGGCUUAACCGGAGAAGUGCAUCGGAAACUGGAUAACUUGAGUGCAGAAGAGGGUAGUGGAACUCCAUGUGUAGCGGUGGAAUGCGUAGAUAUAUGGAAGAACACCAGUGGCGAAGGCGGCUACCUGGUCUGCAACUGACGCUGAGACUCGAAAGCAUGGGUAGCGAACAGGAUUAGAUACCCUGGUAGUCCAUGCCGUAAACGAUGAGUGCUAGGUGUUGGAGGGUUUCCGCCCUUCAGUGCCGGAGCUAACGCAUUAAGCACUCCGCCUGGGGAGUACGACCGCAAGGUUGAAACUCAAAGGAAUUGACGGGGGCCCGCACAAGCGGUGGAGCAUGUGGUUUAAUUCGAAGCUACGCGAAGAACCUUACCAGGUCUUGACAUCUUGCGCCAACCCUAGAGAUAGGGCGUUUCCUUCGGGAACGCAAUGACAGGUGGUGCAUGGUCGUCGUCAGCUCGUGUC